rnacentral:rRNA from 1 species
UGGGCUGUAACUGACGNUGAGAAGCGAAAGCAUGGGGAGCGAACAGGAUUAGAUACCCUGGUAGUCCAUGCCGUAAACGUUGGGCACUAGGUGUGGGGGACAUUCCACGUUUUCCGCGCCGUAGCUAACGCAUUAAGUGCCCCGCCUGGGGAGUACGGCCGCAAGGCUAAAACUCAAAGAAAUUGACGGGGGCCCGCACAAGCGGCGGAGCAUGCGGAUUAAUUCGAUGCAACGCGAAGAACCUUACCAAGGCUUGACAUAUACUGGACUGCGUCAGAGAUGGCGUUUCCCUUCGGGGCUGGUAUACAGGUGGUGCAUGGUUGUCGUCAGCUCGUGUCGUGAGAUGUUGGGUUAAGUCCCGCAACGAGCGCAACCCUCGUUCUAUGUUGCCAGCACGUGAUGGUGGGGACUCAUAGGAGACUGCCGGGGUCAACUCGGAGGAAGGUGGGGAUGACGUCAAAUCAUCAUGCCCCUUAUGUCUUGGGCUUCACGCAUGCUACAAUGGCCGGUACAGAGGGUUGCGAUACUGUGAGGUGGAGCUAAUCCCUAAAAGCCGGUCUCAGUUCGGAUUGGGGUCUGCAACUCGACCCCAUGAAGUCGGAGUCGCUAGUAAUCGCAGAUCAGCAACGCUGCGGUGAAUACGUUCCCGGGCCUUGUACACA